rnacentral:lncRNA from 1 species
GUGAGGAAAGCGCCCCACCUCAGCCCGCUCAGCUCCCCGGGCCUCAGCCUCAUCUUCCCGGGGAGGGAUCCAGCCUGCCGCCGCCGCCGCAGCCACUUCCUUUGCUGCCGCCGCCCACUCCGGCGGCUGUUCUCUUCCUGCUUCUUUGACGGCGGGGCCUGCGGGAAUGAGCGCAGCUGGCUCCUCCGUCGUAGCCCUGAGCCGCCCACUCCGCUCCCGGGGCUGCGAAGCCGAGGCAGCUUCCUCAACGCCGCUCCGACAUGUCUCAGUUCCGUUUCCAGCCUGCGGGGUUCUCCUGGCGAGCGUAAGUGGCCCGCCCUUAUCCGCAGCUGUAGCGCCCCCGGCUGGUUACCGGCCGCCGCCUCCUAACUGGAUUUCGCCAUUCGACGCCCCCCGCCUCCUUCUCAGGGGGCCAUAUAGAGGCAAAAGAAGCAUCUCUGUCCAGAUUUUGUCCUCAUGCAGAAAUUUUGUCAGCACGUGAUCCUUCACAAAGGCACCUGGGUCUGCUUCAAGACAAAGUACCAGCUUCUAACACAUGUUUAAUUACAAGACUACUUCUGGAAGUCCACAAAUGUAUGGGCUAGUUUCUGUAGCUUAGCUUUGCUAAGAAGGAAGGAAGGAAAAUAUGAAAUAGUAAAUAAGAAACUCAGUUUGUUAUUUGAUACACUAGUAUUUUGUGACUGGUGUUGCUCAAGUUAUUCUGAGAACCAGAAAGCCCCCCACCCCACAUGACAGCCAUUUUGAGGCAGCACCUGCAGUGCACCUCACUAUUCCCCGUGUGGCCACUCAACCCAAAGGUUUACCUGUUCUUAUUUCAGAGGUGAUUAAUUAGUUAUUAUUUCUUAAGUUUAAAUGUUUAUGAACCAGUAAAGAACUGUGAACAUAGCAGUCCCUGUUCCAUUUUUUUAAAACAAAUACCACCCUGUAAAGUUCUAACAGAAUGUAUAGAUGACUUUGGGGAAAGAGAGGAAGAGAUGCUGCCUAGGAAACAAUCAAUGGCUUAAAGAAACUUAGGAAGGACUCACCCUCAUGUUAAAAGUGGCAGCAGGAA